rfam:Echinostoma caproni strain Egypt genome assembly, scaffold: ECPE_scaffold0002733
GGCCUCUUAGCUCAGCUAGUAGAGCGUGUGCUGUACAAAAGCGUAGGCGGCAUCCAUGCGUGGGUUCGAAUUCCACCGAGGCUA